rnacentral:rRNA from 3 species
UUUAUGGAGAGUUUGAUCCUGGCUCAGGAUGAACGCUGGCGGCGUGCCUAAUACAUGCAAGUCGAGCGAACAGACGAGGAGCUUGCUCCUCU